rnacentral:snRNA from 1 species
UGACUUACCUGGACGGGGUCAAUGGGUGAUCAAGAAGGCCUAUGGCCUAGGCUAGUGAACUCCAUUACACUUGGGAGGGGUGCUAGCUCAAGUGGUCGAGCCUACAUCAUAAUUUUUGGUAGUGGGAGUCUGCAUUCUCACAGCCCCUA